rnacentral:rRNA from 1 species
AUACGUAGGGGGCGAGCGUUGUCCGGAAUGAUUGGGCGUAAAGGGCGCGUAGGCGGCCUGUUAAGUCUGGAGUGAAAGUCCUGUUUUCAAGAUGGGAAUUGCUUUGGAUACUGAUGGGCUUGAGUGCAGGAGAGGUUAUCGGAAUCCCCGGUGUAGCGGUGAAAUGCGUAGAGAUCGGGAGGAACACCAGUGGCGAAGGCGGGUAACUGGACUGCAACUGACGCUGAGGCGCGAAAGUGUGGGGAGCAAACAGGAUUAGAUACCCCGGUAGUCCACACUGUAAACGAUGAAUGCUAGGUGUAAGAGGUAUCGACCCCUUUUGUGCCGGAGUUAACACAAUAAGCAUUCCGCCUGGGGAGUACGGCCGCAAGGUUGAAACUCAAAUGAAUUGACGGGG